rnacentral:lncRNA from 1 species
AAUAUAUUGACGGAACGUCAGGGACUCAUCAAUGCAUAGGUCCUUGUAUGCCACAAAGACCCGACCAAAGGCUGAUGUCAUUUCUUAUUUUGUAUAACGGGUCAUUUAGGAUGGCAGUAGCAUUGUUGAUGAAAUAGAACUAGGAAGCGGUCUUGGGAAAAGAGGUUGGCUAAGAAGAGAGUUGCAAACAUAGGAUCUGUGCUCCAGUAUUCUCUUAGGAAGUUCUUCUUUACUAUCCCCAUGAGAAGGACUGUCACCAGGAAGCUCCAAGGAAUGGCGAUUGGUCUCCUCUACUAUGUCUCCCACCAGCUCCUCUGUCAGAAACAACUUGAAGCACUCUGCCUCAGAUGGAAAUGGCAAGGGGCAUGGCACUCCAGACUUGGACUCAUCAAAGCAAACACCAGGGCCAAGAGGGGUGAAAUGGCUGGCGGCCUUCCAGCUACCACUGAACUCCAGUACUUCAUCCACUUUCGGUCUGCCUUCAUCACCACCAGCAUCUUCAAAAGGACCUGGGACUUCGUCAGUGGACAAGGAGUCCUCAGAUCCAGUUUUUUCAAUGGCUACAAGGUUGGGGGGCAGCUCCUCACUGUCAGAAUCUGAUUCCUGACUUUCAUACUCAGACUCAUUGACAGAAUAAAAAAAAUCUCAAAAAUAUCCGCAUUUGUGAGUUGUCUCCUUUUGAAAGACAUUGCUAAUGCUACAGCUUAUCUCACUAGCUACAUACAUAAACAACAACACUGAAUGGCUCAGAGUGGGAGUGAGAGGUUACGUGAUUGACUGCCGGCACGCACCACUUGUAUCACUAAAUCACUAUCAGAAAAUGUUUUGUGUGGUAAUUGUUUAUAUAUUUACUGUUUUAUUCACAUGUUUUCAAGUUCUAUUGACAAAUCAUGCAUUCCGAUUCUUGCAUAGAUUGUAAUGGGCACAUAUGUGUGUAAAAUACUUUUUUGAAGGUUGUAAUGAUUAUGAUGAGCUAAGCUAAUUCCAGCUGUGUGUGGAGCCAUGUUUGUUGACAUACAAUGCAUUCUGGGUUUCACGUAAUCGUCUGUCGAACCAAAUAUGUUAUAACAAAAUGAGGUGAGUAAGGGUUCACACAUUUUUUGAGAACUUCCGGAAAUGAAUGGUGGGUUGUGAACGAUGGUAGACAACACCCCCUUCAACAUGCGUACAAUAAACAUACCAAACUCAUCUUGUCUUCUCUUAUUUUGGGUUUUGUGAG